CAGUCGCCGCGGUAAUACGUAGGUGGCAAGCGUUGUCCGGAAUUAUUGGGCGUAAAGGGCUCGCAGGCGGUUUCUUAAGUCUGAUGUGAAAGCCCCCGGCUCAACCGGGGAGGGUCAUUGGAAACUGGGAAACUUGAGUGCAGAAGAGGAGAGUGGAAUUCCACGUGUAGCGGUGAAAUGCGUAGAGAUGUGGAGGAACACCAGUGGCGAAGGCGACUCUCUGGGUCCCCACUGACGCUGGGGUGCGAAAGCAUGGGGAGGAAACAGGAUCAGAUACCCCCGUAGUCCCUGUCUCUUAUAC
rnacentral:rRNA from 1 species